rnacentral:rRNA from 1 species
UACGAAGGGGGCUAGCGUUGUUCGGAAUUACUGGGCGUAAAGCGCGUGUAGGCGGCUAAGUAAGUCGGGCGUGAAAUCCCACGGCUCAACCGUGGAAGUGCACUCGAAACUGCGUAGCUAGAGUCCUGGAGAGGAAGGUGGAAUGCUUGGUGUAGAGGUGAAAUUCGUAGAUAUCAAGCGGAACACCGGUGGCGAAGGCGGCCUUCUGGACAGUGACUGACGCUGAGACGCGAAAGCGUGGGGAGCAAACAGG